rnacentral:snRNA from 1 species
AUGCUUGUUUUGGCAGCACACAUACUAAAAAAUUGUAACAAUACAGAGAAGAUUACUAGCAUGGCCCCUGCACAAGGAUAACAAGCAAAUUUGUGAAGCAUUCCAUAUUUUC